CGGCACCUUCGGUGUCCGAGUUGUAAUUUGAAGAUUGUAACCUUGGGGUUGGCUCUUGUCUAUGUUUCUUGGAACAGGACGUCACAGAGGGUGAGAAUCCCGUGCGAUGAGAUGCCCAAUCCUAUGUAAGGUGCUUUCGAAGAGUCGAGUUGUUUGGGAAUGCAGCUCUAAGUGGGUGGUAAAUUCCAUCUAAAGCUAAAUAUUGGCGAGAGACCGAUAGCGAACAAGUACAGUGAUGGAAAGAUGAAAAGAACUUUGAAAAGAGAGUGAAAAAGUACGUGAAAUUGUUGAAAGGGAAGGGUUUGAGAUCAGACUCGAUAUUUUGUGAGCCUUGCCUUCGUGGCGGGGUGACCCGCAGCUUAUCGGGCCAGCAUCGGUUUGGGCGGUAGGAUAAUGGCGUAGGAAUGUGACUUUGCUUCGGUGAAGUGUUAUAGCCUGCGUUGAUGCUGCCUGCCUAGACCGAGGACUGCGAUUUUAUCAAGGAUGCUGGCAUAAUGAUCCCAAACCGCCCGUUG
rnacentral:rRNA from 1 species